UACGUAGGGGGCAAGCGUUGUCCGGAUUUAUUGGGCGUAAAGAGCGUGUAGGCGGUUUGGUAGGUCCGUUGUGAAAACUCGAGGCUCAACCUCGAGACGCCGGCGGAAACCAUCAGGCUAGAGUCCGGAAGAGGAGAGUGGAAUUCCUGGUGUAGCGGUGAAAUGCGCAGAUAUCAGGAGGAACACCGGUGGCGAAGGCGGGUCUCUGGGCCGAAAUUGACGCUGAGGAGCGAAAGCGUGGGGGAGCAAACAGG
rnacentral:rRNA from 1 species